UUCCAGACUCCUACGGGAGGCAGCAGUGAGGAAUAUUGGUCAAUGGGCGCGAGCCUGAACCAGCCAAGUAGCGUGAAGGAUGACUGCCCUACGGGUUGUAAACUUCUUUUAUAAAGGAAUAAAGUGAGGCACGUGUGCCUUUUUGUAUGUAUUUUAUGAAUAAGGAUCGGCUAACUACGUGCCAGCAGCCGCGGUCAUACGUAGGAUCCGAGCAUUAUCCGGAGUGACUGGGUGUAAAGAGUUGCGUAGGUGGCAUAAUAAGUAGCUAGUGAAAUCUGGUGGCUCAACCAUUCAGACUAUUAGCUAAACUGUUAAGCUCGAGACCGUUAGGGGUAACUGGAAUUUCUAGUGUAGGAGUGAAAUCCGUAGAUAUUAGAAAGAACACCGAUAGCGUAGGCAGGUUACUGGGACGGUUCUGACACUAAGGCACGAAAGCGUAGGGAGCAAACGGGAUUAGAUACCCCAGUACCU
rnacentral:rRNA from 1 species